rnacentral:rRNA from 1 species
GACGAACGCUGGCGGCGUGCUUAACACAUGCAAGUCGAACGGAAAGGCCCUGCUUUUGUUGGGUUCUCGAUUGGCGAACGGGUGAGUAACACGCGAGUAACCUGCCCUUGACUUUGGGAUAACUUCAGGAAACUGGGGCUAAUACCGGAUAGGAUCUCCUGCUGCAUGUUGGUGGUUGGAAAGUUUCGGCCGUUGGGGAUGGACUCGCGGCUUAUCAGCUUGUUGGUGUGGUAGUUGCGUACCAAGGCUUCGACGGGUAGCCGGCCUGAGAGGGUGACCGGGCACAUUGGGCCUGAGAUACGGAGCAGAAUCGAACGGGAGGCAGCAGUGGGGAGUAUUGCACAGUGGGCGGACGUCUGAUACAGCAGCGCCGCGAGCGGGAUAACGGCCUUCGAGUUGUAAACAGAUGUCGAAUGUGCCGAAGACUGCGUGACGGUAAUGGGUCAAGAAGCAACGGCUAACUACGUG